rnacentral:rRNA from 1 species
AUGGAGUCCAGCACAAAGACUCCAGAAGAGAGGCAGUAUGUCAAUAUGCAGUGGGCAUUGUUCUUUUACGAGUGUGGCAUUCCAUUCAACGCUGCAAGUAGUAGGCAGUUUGAGGUUGCAAUUGAAGCCUCUUGUCAAUAUGGGUCAGGUUACAAGCCUCCUAGUGCACAUGAGCUGAGAGAGAAAUUGCUUAAUGAUUGUGUGAAGGAAACAGGACUUUUGAGGAGGCAACACGAGGCAGCAUGGAAAAAAUAUGGAUGCACACUCAUGUCGGAUGGCUGGUCGGAUAAAAGAGGACGCCAUUUGAUUAACUUCCUUGUUAAUAGUCCAGAGGGCACUUUCUUCUUGGAGUCGGUUGAUGCCUCAAGUGUAUGUCAUGAUGGUGAUAUGAUAGCUGAUUUGCUUGAGAAGAGAAUUCUGGAUGUUGGAAAAGAGAAUGUGGUACAAGUUAUCACCGAUAAUGGUGCUAAUUACAAGAAAGCUGGCCACCUUCUAAUGGAGAGGAUGCCUACUCUAUAUUGGAGGCCGUGUGCAUGUCAUUGCUUGGACCUAAUGUUGUAA